rnacentral:rRNA from 1 species
CCGAAGCCGGUGGCCUAACCCCUUGUGGGAGGGAGCCGUCGAAGGUGGGAUCGGCGAUUGGGACGAAGUCGUAACAAGGUAGCCGUACCGGAAGGUGCGGCUGGAUCACCUCCUUUCUAAGGAGCAC